rnacentral:rRNA from 1 species
GGCCAGAGAUGGUCGCCCCCUUGUGGUCGGUGUACAGGUGGUGCAUGGUUGUCGUCAGCUCGAGUCGUGAGAUGUUGGGUUAAGUCCCGCAACGAGCGCAACCCUCGUUCUAUGUUGCCAGCGCGUUAUGGCGGGGACUCAUAGGAGACUGCCGGGGUCAACUCGGAGGAAGGUGGGGAUGACGUCAAAUCAUCAUGCCCCUUAUGUCUUGGGCUUCACGCAUGCUACAAUGGCCGGUACAAAGGGCUGCGAUACCGUAAGGUGGAGCGAAUCCCAAAAAGCCGGUCUCAGUUCGGAUUGAGGUCUGCAACUCGACCUCAUGAAGUCGGAGUCGCUAGUAAUCGCAGAUCAGCAA